UGGCAUCAAUAUAUAUUUAAACAUUCAAAUAUACAACAUUAUAUUCAACAAAUCAGAAUCUAUUCACAAAAGGAAACACAAAUCUCGAAGAAGUAGACCGCCGAUCAAACAUGUGAAUUCGUUUAUAACCGAUAUGAAUGAGAGAAUACGGCCAGUUUAAGGAAAAAGGGCUUAGUGGUACGAGAAGCUCGAUAUGUUACAAUUACAAUAUUUUUAUAUAUCUUUGAUGACGAUUUUGAUGGUAACAACAGAUAAAUACUACAUAUUGUACAUUGAGUAGGCGAUAGUCGUAUCUUAUUGUUAUAAUUAGCGUAUCGGCGACGCCGACAUUGAUGUCGACGAUGACGACACGACGAUGACGAUGACAUAAACAACGUAUUUCGUAUUUUCAGAAUCGACACGUGAUCGACACGCGGCGAUGACAACAGGAGUAACAAUCUCAGUAACAAUAACAGCAACAGCAACGAUGACAAUAAUAUAAUGAUAGUAAUACAGGUAACAAUAGUAAUAGAGUAUAAUUAUAGAAGUCGUGAUAAUAAUAAUUUCAUUUAAUGAGAAUAUAAAAGAUUGUCCCCUAGUUUUCGAACGGAAUGUUUCAGAGACUUUUGCGUCGCCUUAUUUGUGAAUAAACUUGCGAUAAAUGGUGAUAACUUCGAGAAAAAAAUAAUCCUUUUAUUAAAAAAAUAAAAUAAAAUAUUAUUUAAGAAAAACAAUUUUAAUAUCCUAUUUUUCUCGGAUAUCGACGCUUCCUUAAUCUUCUACUCAUCAAUAUACUAUAUCUGACUUAAAAUAGACAAGAAAAGAAAUUAAUUAAAAUAUUAAAAUAUAUCUCAAACAAUGAUAAAUAUAAAUUAUCUUUUACACACAAAAAUGUGCUUUUUACAUGUUUUUUAGAUGUUUUUUUUUUUUUUAACUCCGGGCACAUAAUUGUAAAAAGAAAAAUGACUGUACCAUCUUUAAGAUAAAAUAUUAUCAUAUUUCAUGAGUUUAUUCUUGUAAAGCAUUGGGAGAUUGAGUCUUUAAGCGUCACCCUGGAAUGCCUCCGAUAUUACGGAUACAAUGCUUGUCGUACAAACGAGCAAAAUGUCUCUGAAUUUUCGAAAUCAAGGAAAAUGACGAUCUCUUUUGACGCAACGAUUUAACAAACGGUGACAAAGGGCUAGAGGCGAAAUUUGUUUAUUUAUUUAUUAGAAUACGAAGGUUCCACAUGAGUUUCUCAAGUAAACACCUAAUUCAUCCGGCUUAGAGUACAUUCGUAAUUAAAGAGCUUCUCUUCAAAUCGUCUCGCGUCUGGUAUAAUUCAAAAUUCGAAAUUUUGAAGAUAUAGAUUUAAGGCCGUUUGGAGACGAACUCUUUUGUUAGGAUUUUCGACAUGCACGUCAUUGUGCUUGAAAAUAUAAACAAAAUUUUGCCUCUGCUUUGCUUCUCGUCUCGUCUCAUCUCAUCAAUUGAUGGAAUGAUCGACAGACUUCUGUACACUAGUGUAACCAAUUUCUUUCAAAAUCGCGUCCAAGACAAAGAACUUUUUGCAUAUAUGUAUUACGUCGAAUAUUGUCGUCGUCGUAGAUCGUCGAUUAUCAUCGUCAUCGUCGGCCAUCCGUUCGCCAACGACGUCGCUCGAGCGUCGUCGUCGCGAAGCGUACAGUUAGUAACUACUAAUUAUCGCUUUCGUCUUUUUUUUCUCUCUUCAGUUCCGCAUUUAUCACACUUAUUAUGUAAAUGGGUGUCUGAGGAAUGUGUGUAUGCGCGGAUGCAGAGUCAGUGAUGCAUUUUUUUUUGCGCAAUAAAUCUAUUGCACAUCUAAUCGACAAGAAAGAGAGGGGAAAUUCUGUAAAAGACAUUGAUUGCAGAGACAGGAAUUUUCGCGUAAGAUAAUGGAAUAAAUUGUGAAAAAAAAUAUAUGGACGUGGGAGAAGAUUACCAGUGAUUCCCGAGUGCUCGAUCAUUUUAUUAUCUCUUGCGUUCUUUAUAUAAGUAAUUUGGUAAUUUUCUUUGUCAAAGAAAAAAGAAGAAAGCAAGAAUAAACAGUACAAUAUAGGAAAAAUGGUUAUACAUGAAAGAAAGAGAAAUGUUGUAACAAUUUUAUCCAGAUUUCCUGCCAACAACAGCAAAAAUCCUAUCCAGGAAUCACUGGCUUACAUUGAAAAGAUAAUUUACAUCGCAAAUAUAUUCCCACGUCUUGUUUUGCGGUAAGCAUAUGUCGAUGACUACAAAAGCGCGAGUUCUUCAUCGGAAUGAUGUGGAAUCGGAAGUGCAGAAUGUACACGACAUCUCGUCUAAUACAUGCGUGUGAGUAUAUGUGUUUAGGUAUUUGUGUCACGCAACGAUAUAUACUAACAUACAAGCCACUGACUCCGAUCACUCUCAAUAAGACUAAGUAAACGCUAUGGCAUCAUGAUAAUCACCGAUGGGGUGCUCUUAUAUCAAACUCGCUAGAUAAUAAUUACGAACGAUUAGCGCGCGUCUAUUUUUCGCUUGAUAUUCGGAUAUGAUCGCGAUUAUCGUAUAGGUUCUCACCGUUGAGUUCAUCGAUAAGUUCUCGCUUCUCCGCGUUCAUCUCAAGAGAAAGAGACCGAUAGAAAGGAAUAUACAAAGCGUUACAUUAGCUUCCGACACCGGAAGACUAGGUAUACCCGCACCACACACUUGGCACUAAGUCCGGUUUAUUUAUUUCGCACAGAAGAUCGUAUAGAGUCAGUCAGGAUAAUUGUGAUACAAUUUAAUAGUUUGCGAUGAUAAAAGCGAUUAUAAAAUCAUAUGACAUCGUCGGGAAAUGCUAUAGCCUCACAUCUAGUAUCGCAAUAUAAUCCUGAUUGUAUCUGCGUCUACGAGAAUUAGACGAACAAAGUGUCGAAUAUGAGAUACGAGUACAAACUUUACGUACACUCGAGAGCUCUAUUAUGGAUAAUAUCUUUCAAGAAGCAAAACCUUCAAGUGAGUUACUAUUGAAAGUCACUCCCUCAAUUUUGCGCUCGUCGAAGAGUAUAUUAUCAAGAGUCGCUUUCAAGGCAUGAGAACCGAUUGCAGAAAACAAUGUCCGUAUAUUUCACAUCGUAAAGCGAUUAAGAUCGCUUUCUGGAAUUUAGUUUUGUAAUUCUAUUUUAUAUAAAAAGCGCUCUUCUUUUACAAUGUCAAAUAGAUCUAGAUUAAAUUACGAGAUUCAUAAGAAAUUCCGGCUAUAGAUGUCGAUAGGACAAAAUGUUUUUUUACAAUCGGUUCAAAAAUUAUUCAACCCUUAACUAAUAUGGUGGAAUCUUACGGUAUGAUAUAUGAGACUAGAUACGUUUAUAUAUUAUUAUUAUUAUUUUUUAAAUAAUUUCAUGAAUUUCACUAUAUUUUGUUAUCAAAACGAAAGCAUUUUUCGUUCGUUGCUCUUGUACGAGACGAAGAAAUCGUCUCAUCUCUACGGAUACAUCAUCAUUUUCUUUUUUUGCACGAUUAUGUAGAAACGUCCGGAUAUAUGAUUCGUUUUACACCACAAUAGUUAAGGGUCGAUCAUAUGUACAUCAAGCUUGACGCAUCGUG